GAACGCGAAGAACCUUACCAGGUCUUGACAUCCCGAUGCUAUUUCUAGAGAUAGAAAGUUACUUCGGUACAUCGGUGACAGGUGGUGCAUGGUUGUCGUCAGCUCGUGUCGUGAGAUGUUGGGUUAAGUCCCGCAACGAGCGCAACCCCUAUUGUUAGUUGCCAUCAUUCAGUUGGGCACUCUAGCGAGACUGCCGGUAAUAAACCGGAGGAAGGUGGGGAUGACGUCAAGUCAUCAUGCCCCUUAUGACCUGGGCUACACACGUGCUACAAUGGGCAGUACAACGAGAAGCGAACCCGCGAGGGUAAGCGGAUCUCUUAAAGCUGUUCUCAGUUCGGACUGCAGGCUGCAACUCGCCUGCACGAAGCUGGAAUCGCUAGUAAUCGCGGAUCAGCACGCCGCGGUGAAUACGUUCCCGGGUCUUGUACACACC
rnacentral:rRNA from 1 species